UAAUGCAUCCUCAAGGGAUCAUCUUAAGCCUCAUCCUACUUGUGGCAGAUACUGUAGUUUUUUUAGGUACAAGUGAGUAGAGCAAUAGGUUAGCCUGUCAUGCUACCUUGCAUCUAUGAUGGAGAGGUGUCAUCUAUGUGCUGGGGCUGAAGGAUGUGCCCUAUAUUUGGAUCCUCAGAUGAAAUUGUCUGGAUUAGUAGAUCCCAUGUCACCUUUUAGAAGCAAAUGUGUUAACGGGAAUUACGUACCUUUUGAAAGGGAAUGCCUUCUUAACUAUAGAAAAUGCAACCGAAACUGACAGUGGCUUGUAUUGUUGCUAUGUUGUGCACAGGGGGUGGUUCAGUGACAUGAAAAUCACCCUGUCAUUGGAGAUUAAACCAGCCAGGAACACGAGUAUUCCCAUGUCAUCUGGAGUCUCUAACCUCUGCUUCUCCAAUGCCAUCACCCCUGCAGAGCCAUGAACCAGUAGUUAUUUCACCUUCUCCAACUCAGC
rnacentral:lncRNA from 1 species